rnacentral:rRNA from 1 species
ACUCCUACGGGAGGCAGCAGUGGGGAAUAUUGCACAAUGGGGGAAACCCUGAUGCAGCCAUGCCGCGUGUGUGAAGAAGGCCUUCGGGUUGUAAAGCACUUUCAGUAGGGAGGAAGGUAGUGUAGUUAACACCUGCAUUAUUUGACGUUACCUACAGAAGAAGCACCGGCUAACUCCGUGCCAGCAGCCGCGGUAAUACGGAGGGUGCGAGCGUUAAUCGGAAUUACUGGGCGUAAAGCGCAUGCAGGCGGCCUGUUAAGUCAGAUGUGAAAGCCCGGGGCUUAACCUCGGAAUUGCAUUUGAAACUGGCAGGCUAGAGUCUUGUAGAGGGGGGUAGAAUUUCAGGUGUAGCGGUGAAAUGCGUAGAGAUCUGAAGGAAUACCAGUGGCGAAGGCGGCCCCCUGGACAAAGACUGACGCUCAGAUGCGAAAGCGUGGGGAGCAAACA